GAGAUCAAGAGAAGAAUCCUUUCUUCUCAAUUCUCCUAUGCACAAGAUAGACCUUUCUCUCUUUCUUUCAUGCCUUUAAGAAGAACUUUUUUUCUCUAAAUUUUUAUGAUAAAAAUUAGAUCUAAUCUAAUUUUUUAUGCUAAAAAUUAUAUGGACUAUCAUGUUCUAAAAAAAUCCAAAAGAGAGAUCCAAGAGAAGAACCGUUCUUCUUUCUUCUUCUCUCUUUUUUCUCCUUGAUCUAGAACUCUAGGAAGCCCCA
rnacentral:lncRNA from 1 species